rnacentral:rRNA from 1 species
GGGGUGAGCGGCGGACGGGUGAGUAACGCGUGUGUACGUGCCCUUCUCUGCGGAAUAGCCUCGGGAAACUGAGAGUAAUACCGCAUACGCCCUUUGGGGGAAAGAUUUAUCGGAGAAGGAUCGGCCCGCGUUGGAUUAGGUAGUUGGUGGGGUAAUGGCCCACCAAGCCGACGAUCCAUAGCUGGUUUGAGAGGAUGAUCAGCCACACUGGGACUGAGACACGGCCCAGACUCCUACGGGAGGCAGCAGUGGGGAAUCUUAGACAAUGGGGGCAACCCUGAUCUAGCCAUGCCGCGUGAGUGAUGAAGGCCUUAGGGUUGUAAAGCUCUUUCAGCUGGGAAGAUAAUGACGGUACCAGCAGAAGAAGCCCCGGCUAACUCCGUGCCAGCAGCCGCGGUAAUACGGAGGGGGCUAGCGUUGUUCGGAAUUACUGGGCGUAAAGCGCACGUAGGCGGACCAGAAAGUUGGGGGUGAAAUCCCGGGGCUCAACCUCGGAACUGCCUUCAAAACUAUUGGUCUGGAGUUCGAGAGAUGUGAGUGGAAUUCCGAGUGUAGC